rnacentral:misc_RNA from 1 species
GAGAUAUGAAGGAGAUUAGUUACCAAAAAAGCGAGUGUGUUAAAACUCUAUUGGAUUUACAUUUUUCUUGGGUCUAUAAGGUGCUGCUGUUUGGUAGAAGAGGUUCAUGCAUAUCUAAGUUGUCGAUAUCUCCAGGGCUAGAGCCUUCCUUUCUGGUUGAAGGUGCUCACCUAAGGCUAUUGUAGAUUGAGAGGCUGGUGAGUUUUAUGGCACCACCUUCCUAGUGAAGGUAGCAGUAUUGAUUUUG